GCCGUGUCCAGGAAGCCCUGUCUCUACAACACUGCCGUGUCCAGGAAGCCCUGUCUCUACAACACUGUCAUGUCCAGGAAGCCCUAUCUCUACAACACUGCUGUGUCCAGGAAGCCCUGUCUCUACAACACUGCUGUGCCCGGGAAGCCCUGUCUCUACAACACUGCUGUGUCCACGCUUCUUCAAAACCUUCUGCUUGUUUCUCUGUGACUGAUGAAAGCACUCGGGUGGUACUGUCUCACUUUCAGUGUUCACAGAUUCCCCUGAGACUGUGCUGGAACAGAGUGGCAUGUACUCUUCAAAUAUUCAUGAGGCACUUGUGCGUGAUCAGCUGGAGUCUGGAUUUCUGGGGCUGUUUCCCACACACUGCUGAAGGUGUGUGGUAGUUGCUGCUGUAGGUGCCAACAGCCAGAGUGAGCCGGAGACCUCUUCAGACUCUGCCUCCUACGCCGUUUGACAAGACUCUGGUUCGUUUUCAGACUCUGCCUCUAGUUCGUCUUUUCCAGGCUCCGCCUUCUACAGCAUUUGUCAGGACUCUGGUUCAUCUCAGGGUCCUGAACUCUUCAGGUUAGUCUACAUUGCAGCUUUAAGUACACUGAUAUAGAAACUAUAGUCAAUGUACCAAUUUAAAUGAAAUAUAGGCCUCCAUGAAUAAUUGUUUGACCAACUUGAUAUUGUUUCUUUAGGCAGAGCUGGUUCCAUCUGUGGUUUAGGGAGUGACCUGCGUUAGGGUGUGACCUCUCCUCCUGGUUCUUGGGGAGUAACUCUGUGCUCUUGCUUUGAUGUGCUUUGCUGCAUCUUCAGACGCAUUAGCCAUUCCACAGUCGACGGUCUUUAUGGGAGGACGUGCCGCGAUCCUCUCUGAGGUGAAUGAUCCUGCAGGGCCCUCGUGGGGUAUUUGCAGCAGGCAGAAGUAGGUUGUGGGUUUUGUCAUAUUUCCGUUCGCUUCC